CAGUCGCCACGGUAAAACGUAGGGUGCAAGCGUUAAUCGGAAUUACUGGGCGUAAAGCGUGCGCAGGCGGUUAUAUAAGACAGAUGUGAAAUCCCCGGGCUCAACCUGGGAACUGCAUUUGUGACUGUAUAGCUAGAGUACGGCAGAGGGGGAUGGAAUUCCGCGUGUAGCAGUGAAAUGCGUAGAUAUGCGGAGGAACACCGAUGGCGAAGGCAAUCCCCUGGGCCUGUACUGACGCUUAUGCACGAAAGCGUGGGGAGCAAACAGGAUUAGAUACCCCGGUAGUCCCUGUCUCUUAUAC
rnacentral:rRNA from 1 species